UACGUAGGGUGCGAGCGUUAAUCGGAAUUACUGGGCGUAAAGCGUGCGUAGGCGGUUCCUCAAGUCCGUUGUGAAAGCCCCGGGCUCAACCUGGGAAUGGCAGUGGAAACUAGGGGACUGGAAUCUAGCAGAGGGGGGUGGAAUGCCGCGUGUAGCAGUGAAAUGCGUAGAGAUGCGGCGGAACACCGAUGGCGAAGGCAGCCCCCUGGGCUGAGAUUGACGCUCAUGCACGAAAGCGUGGGGAGCAAACAGG
rnacentral:rRNA from 1 species